GACCUCAAAUCAGGUAGGACUACCCGCUGAACUUAAGCAUAUCAAUAAGCGGAGGAAAAGAAACUAACAAGGAUUCCCCUAGUAACUGCGAGUGAAGCGGGAAAAGCUCAAAUUUAAAAUCUGGCAGUCUUUGGCUGUCCGAGUUGUAAUCUAGAGAAGUGUUAUCCGCGCUGGACCGUGUACAAGUCUCCUGGAAUGGAGCGUCAUAGAGGGUGAGAAUCCCGUCUUUGACACGGACUACCAGGGCUUUGUGAUGCGCUCUCAAAGAGUCGAGUUGUUUGGGAAUGCAGCUCAAAAUGGGUGGUAAAUUCCAUCUAAAGCUAAAUAUUGGCGAGAGACCGAUAGCGAACAAGUACCGUGAGGGAAAGAUGAAAAGAACUUUGGAAAGAGAGUUAAACAGUACGUGAAAUUGCUGAAAGGGAAACGCUUGAAGUCAGUCGCGUCGUCCAGGGAUCAACCUUGCUUUUGCUUGGUGCACUUUCUGGUUGACGGGUCAGCAUCAAUUUUGACCAUUGGAAAAAGAUCAAGGGAAUGUGACAUCUUUGGAUGUGUUAUAGCCCUUGGUUGCAUACGAUGGUUGGGAUUGAGGAACUCAGCACUCCGCAAGGCCGGGU
rnacentral:rRNA from 1 species